rnacentral:rRNA from 1 species
UUGUUCCUACGGGAGGCAGCAGUGAGGAAUAUUGGUCAAUGGGCGAGAGCCUGAACCAGCCAAGUCGCGUGAAGGAUGACGGCCCUACGGGUUGUAAACUUCUUUUGUCAGGGAGCAAUUGGGUCCACGCGUGGGCUUAGCGAGAGUACCUGAAGAAAAAGCAUCGGCUAACUACGUGCCAGCAGCCGCGGUAAUACGUAGGGGGCAAGCGUUAUCCGGAAUUACUGGGUGUAAAGGGAGCGUAGACGGCUGUGCAAGUCUGGAGUGGAAGGCGGGGGCCCAACCCCCGGACUG